rnacentral:lncRNA from 12 species
CCCCCCCCCCCCCCCCCCCCCCCCCCCCCCCCCCCCCCCCCCCCCCCCCCCCCCCCCCCCCCCCCCCCCCUGGCCCGGGCGGUGGCCGCGCGGCGCGCGCGCUGUCGCAGGCGCUGCGCCGUGGCGCGGUGCUCGCGCGCGGUGUCGCUCAGGUGUCGCCGCGAUGUCCCCAAGGCCUGCAGGGCCACCUGGCAGGACACGGCCACCGCGGCCAGCGCCAGCAGCAGGUGACAGUCCUGCGACACGCCCAGCGCGGCGCGCGCCGCGUCCAGCGACACUGCGGGGACACGGGGACAGCGCGGGUGGCACCGGGGACACGGGACAGCGACGGCCCAGAGCUCCCAGUUCAGUCCCAGUGCUCCCAGUGCCAUCCCAGUGCCACCGGUCCUGUCCCAGUGCCACCCUCCCAAUGCUCCCCGUCCUGUCCCAGUGUCCCCAGUUCCCUCCCAGUGCCACCGCCCCAGAAUCCCGACACCAAUGUCACCACCCCUGCGUCACCAGUUCAAACCCAGUGUCCCCAGUCCUGUCCAAGUGCCACCGUCCCAGUGCUCCCAGUGCCAGCCCAGUGUCACCGCCCCAUUGUCCCCGUAUCAGUGUCACCAUCCCAGUGUCACCAGUUCCCUCCCAGUGUCCCCAGUUCUGUCCCACUGUCACCACCCGAGUGCCACCAGCCCAGUGUCACCAACCCAGAUCAAGCCCAGUGUCCCCAGUCCUGUCCCAGUGCCACCAUCCCAGUGCUCCCAGUUCCCUCCCAGUGCUCCCAGUGCCAGCCUGGUGUCCCCCAUCCUGUCCCAGUGUCACCAGUGCCAGCACUGGGACCAGCCCAGUGUCCCCAGUUUCACUCCAGUGUUACCAUCCCAGUGCCACCAGUCCUGUCCCAGUGUCCCCAUCCCAGUUCCAUCCCAGUGCCACAUCCCCACUGUCCCCACACCAAUGUCACCAUCCCAGUGUCCCCAGUUCUAUCCCAGUGCCACCAGUUCUGCCCCCGUGUCACCACCCCAGUGCCACCAGCCCAGUGUCACCAACCCAGUUCCAUCCCAGUGUUCCCAUCCCAGUGAUCCCAGUUCCCUCCCAGUGUCCCCAGUCAAAUCCCAGAGUCACCACCCCAAUGUCACCAACCCAGUGCUCCCAGUUCCAUCCCAGUGCUCCCAAUGUCACCAACCCAGUGCUCCCAGUUCCAUCCCAAUGCUCCCAGUGUCACCAUCCCAGUGCUCCCAGUCCCGUCCCAGUGCCACCACCCCAUUCUCCCCAUACCAAUGUCACCAUCCCAAUGUCACCAAACCAGUUCCCCCCAGUGUCCCCAGUCCUGUCCCAGUGUCACCACCCCAGUGUCACCAGUCCUGUCCCAGUGCUCCCAGUUCCAUCCCAGUGUCCCAGUCUUGGGAUAGGAGGUCUCUACUGGUCGGAGGAACCGGUCCAUACCGGUUUAUACUGGUGCAUACUGGUUUAUACUGGUUUAUACUGGUCUGAACUGUUUCAUACUGGUCGGUUCAGUGGGAUGUCCCUACUGCUCUGUAGAUAUUCAUACUGGUCUAUACUGGUCCAAACUAGUCUAUACUGGUCCAUACUGGUCUCUACUGGUCUGUAGUGCUUCCCACUGGUCCACACUGCUCUAUACUGGUCUACACUGGUCUGUACAGGUUUAUACUGGUUAUACUGCUUUAUACUGGUUUAUACUGGUCCAUACUGCUCUAUACUGGUUUAUACUGGUCUGUACAGGUUUUUACUGGUUAUACUGCUUUAUACUGGUCUAUACAGACCCAUACCGGUUAUACAUUUAUACUGGUCCAUACUGGUUAUACUGGUCUAUACUGGUCUAUAUAGAUCCAUACUGGUUUAUACUGGUUUAUACUGGUUUAUACUGGUCCGUACUGGUCUAUACUGGCUUACACUGGCCUGUACUGGUCCAUACUGGUUGAUACUCACGCAGAGCCCCACACAGCACCAUCAGCCCCAGUGCCAGCCCGUGCCUGGCCCAGAGCCCAGCUCACCCAAACUGGUCCAUACUGGUCCAUACGGGUCUAUAUUGGUCUAUACUGGAUUAUACUGGUCUAUACUGGUCUUUACUGGUCUAUAACGGUCUAUACUAGUCUAUACUGCUCCAUAUUGGUUGAUACUGGUUCACACUGCUCUAUACUGGUUUAUACUUCUUAUACUGGUCUAUACUGGAAUACACAGGUGUAUACUGGUCCAUACUGGUCUAUACUGGACUAUACUGGUCUUUACUGGUGUAUACUGGUUUAUACUGGUCUGUGCUGCUCCAUACUGGUUUAUACUGGUCUACUGGUCCAUACUGGUUUAUACUGGUCUGUACUGGUCUAUACUGGUCUAUACUACUCCAUACUGGUUUAUACUGGUCUACUGGUCCAUACUGGUUUAUACUGGUCUGUACUGGUCUAUACUGGUCUAUACUACUCCAUACUGGUUUAUACUGGUCUACUGGUCCAUACUGGUUUAUACUGGUCUGUACUGGUCUAUACUGGUCUAUACUACUCCAUACUGGUUUAUACUGGUCUACUGGUCCAUACUGGUUUAUACUGGUCUGUACUGGUCUAUACUGGUCUAUACUACUCCAUACUGGUUUAUACUGGUCUACUGGUCCAUACUGGUUUAUACUGGUCUGUACUGGUCUAUACUGGUCUAUACUACUCCAUACUGGUUUAUACUGGUCUACUGGUCCAUACUGGUUUAUACUGGUCUGUACUGGUCUAUACUGGUCUAUACUACUCCAUACUGGUUUAUACUGGUCUACUGGUCCAUACUGGUUUAUACUGGUCUGUACUGGUCUAUACUGGUCUAUACUACUCCAUACUGGUUUAUACUGGUCUACUGGUCCAUACUGGUUUAUACUGGUCUGUACUGGUCCCCCCCCCCCCCCCCCCCCCCCCCCCCCCCCCCCCCCCCCCCCCCCCCCCCCCCCCCCCCCCCCCCCCCCCCCC